rnacentral:rRNA from 1 species
CCUACGGGAGGCAGCAGUGAGGAAUAUUGGUCAAUGGACGAGAGUCUGAACCAGCCAAGUAGCGUGAAGGAUGACUGCCCUAUGGGUUGUAAACUUCUUUUAUAUGGGAAUAAAAUGUUCCACGUGUGGGAUUUUGUAUGUACCAUAUGAAUAAGGAUCGGCUAACUCCGUGCCAGCAGCCGCGGUAAUACGGAGGAUCCGAGCGUUAUCCGGAUUUAUUGGGUUUAAAGGGAGCGUAGGUGGAUUGCCAAGUCAGCGGGAAAAUCGCGGGGCUAAACCUAGAUCCGCAGUUGAAACUGGCGUUCUUGAGUGCGCGAGAGGUGUGCGGAAUGCGUGGUGUAGCGGUGAAAUGCAUAGAUAUCACGCAGAACUCCGAUUGCGAAGGCAGCAUACCGGCGCCCAACUGACGCUGAAGCACGAAAGCGUGGGUAUCGAACAGGAUUAGAUACCCUUGUAGUC